rnacentral:lncRNA from 1 species
UUUUCUGUGCUGUGAUAAGGUUUGUUCGUUUGCAUUUGGCGUCUGCGUUGCCUUUAUGAGCUGUAGCGCUCACUGCGAAAAUUGUCACUUUAUUUCUGAAGUGGGUGAGAUGACGAGCCCGGCAGGAGGAACGAAACACUCAUCUGUGAAAGUUGCAACUUCAUUUCUGAAGUAGGUGAGACGACUCUGUGAAAGUUGCAACUUCAUUUCUGAAAUUUCCCAUUUUGGCCACGCUUCACAUGCGACACAUAUAGAAGUACACAGCAGCUUCCCCCCUUACCUGCAAGGGAUAUGUUCAGAGAUCUCCAGUGGAUGCCUGAAACUAUGGAUAGUACUGAAUCCUAUAUAUACUGUUUUUUUCUAUACAUAUAAUAAAGUUUAUAAAUUAGGUACAGUAAGAGAUUAAAAACUCAAAAUAUGAGUUAAACUCAUAUGCAAUAUAAUAUAUGCAAUAAAAUUGAAAUACUGUCAAACUCU